ensembl:lincRNA
GGUUGGAGAAGUGGGCAGGCCAUUCCACAAAUACCAAUGCUGACACCCCAUUCAGACUCCCUCCAGGUCAAAGAGACUGAGGUUUUCGUGAGGUGGGUAAAUAUCCCCUGGGAUACACUGGCCUUUUCUUGUCUCUUUUGCCUCCUGGUGGUCUCCUUCUUGGGGAACUUGAGUCUUGGCUGUCUUGGUUGUCCUGGGCACCAGCACUCCUGGAGUGUUGUACAGGGCCCUUGUUUAUAUUGGGGACUCUGGGAUGAGAGGAGGGAUGCUGGGUUAGGCAGCUAAAACUCCUUCCCCAGCUGUGAAUGCCAGAAUUCCUGAGGAGUCUGUGGGAGCCACCCUGCAAUAUUCCAGUUCCAGCAUGGACUAGGCCAGGCUUGGACGCACAGUUAAGGCAGCCUGUCCCUAUUUUUAGGCCAGAUACUUAUAGAAUGACAUCUGAGUACACACAGUCUGAUUCUGCCCAAAUAAGGGCGGCAGAGGCGUCAGCCCCCAGUGAGGGUGGGCCCAACAGGUGGACGGCAAAGAGGCCCAAAUGCCAGAAGCAGCUUGGAGAGAGUCAGGUUCCAGCUAGAUGGGCAGGGCUGCAUGCUUAGCUCCCAUGGAACCAACUUGCCUCAGCUCUCCUGCGGCCCAGUCACCAGCCCAUCAUCUUUCCUGGUUCCAUGGUUUCCCAGAACUUUGACUCUUCCGGAAGCCACUGGCCCACCAGGCUGAGGCCGGGAGGGCUGCAGAGAGGACUGGGAGCACCACUUUGGAAGGAGGAGCAGAGCAUCAGGUCCAUGAGGACAUCGGAGGAAAGGCGACUCCAGAAUGGAGAGUCCAUGGAGCACCUUGGGGCAUGGAUGCCAGGAAAAGAGUGCUGUGGGAGUCUGAGGCGGGAGGCUCUCCAAAUUGCUGGAACUGGGGAACCAACUUAGAGACUUAGUAAGAACCUGUCUCAAAACGAAUAUAAAAAGGGCUGCAGAUGUAGCUCAGUUUAAAGGCGAGUUUCAUUCCCAGAACUGCAAAACAAAACAAAACACACCCCCACCCCAAUAGUACCCGGAAUUAAGGGCCUCCAGGCCCCACAUGGAGGCUGUGGUAAGUCCAGAGAGCUCCGGUGGAGGCAGCAGCAGGAGAGGGGUCCUGGCAGAUUGAUUCUCAGGGAACACCCUUUCUUUACACUCCCCCGGGGUCCAAGAGCCGGCCUCUCGUUGGCUGAAGCCAAAUCCCAGAGAGCAGUCCUUGAGUCCGGCAGCUCCGGUCCUUUGCAGGCUCCUCUGGGAACACUGGAGUCCUCGCUGUGCUGGCCACGUAGCCUGCCAGGGACACCUCCCCUCCCCCGCCCGAGCCCGCUGGGCUGCAGAGCAGAGUACCUCCGAGGCUUGGGCCCUGGAGUGGGUGCACCGGGCUCCAGCGCCUGCAGCAGGAGGGCCCUGUCCCUGCGGAAGGAAAGGCUGCCGCCGAGUGGCUGCAGGAUGGUUAGCAGGCGCUCCCUGGCGCGCACAGCUUGGGCCACUGCCAGGCCUGGCCGCAGUAGGGACCAGAGACUCCGGAAGCUGGGGCUGGGCGGGGACACAGAUGAGCCUGGAGGGUGGUGUCAAAAGGCCAGGUCCCCAGUAGGGAAGGAAGGAGCCCGGGCUCAGAGCAAGUUGUCCUCUGGUGGAAGCAAAGAGAGAACAGCUUCUUGCAGCAUGGCAGCUCGGCAGCUGAAGCUCCCAGACAACGGGAAAUGAGAGACGGUUGUGGUGGGGGUCUAGGGACUGCGCGGACCUGGACAGAGAAGGCCCAACAGGGACAGCAGCGGAGACCAGCUCAGGAUUCUCACUGGGGCACUGAGUGCCGCUCCUCUUAACACCCUGCUUCCUGUCUUUAGACCUCUGUGAGUAGAGGAAGAGGGGCUUGUUGUUGAGGUAAGUUGGCCUCUGCUGUGUACAGGGUGCGGUGGGAUGGGGUGGAGGGACAUCAUGUUCCCUCCUAGCCAAGCAUCCCGCUUCUGUGCUGUCGCCCAGCCUCUCCUGGGGACUAGAAUGCCCCUUCGUGCUCAGUCCUGCCGGCCUCGGGGCUUUGCCCUUGCUGCUUCCAAACCCUGGAGCGCUCUGCCCAGAGAGCCACAGACCUUGUCCAUUUCCCUCUCCUCUGCUGAGGUGGUUAGAUGACCUGUUGUCCACAGCACCACAGCCUCGCUGUCAUUCUCUCCUCCCUACCUGUGUUCAUGGUCCUUUAUGGCUUGUUCUCCGAGUUGACAUUUUGUCCAUUUCCGUGCUUUUCUCCCUAAAACAUAAGUUCCUUAAAGGCAGG